UCAGGUGAAAUCUGGAACUCUAUUUGACAAUGUAUUGGUAUCUGAUGAUCCUGAAUAUGCUAAGAAGUUGGCUGAAGAGACAUGGGGCAAGCAUAAGGAUGCUGAAAAAGCUGCUUUUGAUGAGGCAGAAAAGAAGAGAGAGGAGGAGGAAGCAAAGGAUGACCCAGUCGAUUCUUAUA